CUAGAAAACCAGCUCCAUUUCUUGCACAAACCAGAGAAGCUCGAAGGCACAGAAAUUAUGUGUUGGGUUUUAGGAAAUGAAAACAAACACAGGGAAAGAACAAAGAAUUGAGAUCCUUUUCAGGAGUAAUUUUGGUUGGGUGAAACGGAUUAGACUUGGACAGAAGAACAGAUAAAAAGAAAACAAUGCGAACGAUGGGGAGAGAAUUUGUUUGGUUGCGAUUUCGUUUCUUCGGAAGAAUAAAUCUGACAAAGUAAGCUUCAUCAAAUCAAAAGGCGAAUGGCACUGCGAUGGGGUUUCAACUUUCAACAAAAUUUCUCAUUCUUCGGUUGCUAUUGCUGUUGAUCUACGAAUCAGUGGGGAAAGCACUUGAAAUGAAGAUGGGGAAAGCGUCCAAAUGGACACAAAACCCCAGAAAAUGCAGAUGGGGGCAUAAAGUCAAGGCUGUAGGUGUUGGGUGUUGGCACACAUAUAUGCCUUGGUGGUUGCUGCUUAUCACAUGCCUCCCAAGAACCUCUCUCCACAAUUCUUGCUGCUUUGCUUGAUCCACAACUCUACCACAUUAUUGCAUUCAAUUGAGUCCUCUACUACAAACCCAUCUCAUUUUUGCACAUUCUU